rnacentral:lncRNA from 1 species
UCUGCACGUCCGUGGAUCGAGAAAUCAGGAAACAGAGUUUGGGUUAUGCUCGGAGGACUUGGGGAAGAACCAGACGUGAAAGCCAAUCAAACAGAGUUUGGAAUAAAGGUACAACAACGGUGGAUAAAAGAAAGCACGAGGGCAGUGGGUGAUCGAUCACCUGGGGCGAUGUAGCCGUGGGUGCCGGCGAUGACAUGAGCGGAGGAUGCCUCCUCUGCUCCUCCGGCGGCAGCGGAGUGCAGUACCUUGGCGAGGCCGAAGUCGGCGAUGCGGGGCUUGAGACAGUCGUCGAGGAGGAUGUUGCUAGACUUGACGUCCCGGUGGAGGAUGGGGCGGUCCCAGCCGUGGUGCAGGUAUUCCAGCCCCCGCGCCGCCCCCACUGCGAUCUCGUACCUCUCCUCCCACCCCAAUUCCAUCUUCCCCGCCUCCGUGGACCCGUGAAGCCGGUCCCAGAGGCUCCCUUUGGGAAGGUGCUCGUACACCAGCAGGUGGCAUUCCUCGCUAGUGAUGCUGCAGUACAGCUUCACCACGUUGACGUGCCGCACCGCGCUCAGCGUCCCCACCUCCGCCUCGAACUCCCUCGCCGCCGGCCUCCUCCGCCCCCGCGCUACCAGCAUCG